GGCCCUAUAAUGCAGUAGUUAGCACGUAGAGUUUCUACACUCUAAAGCCCAGGUUCGAACCCUGGUAGGUCCC